UUCAGCGCUAAAAGCGUCUCGGACUUCAGCAGUAAGUGGUACCGAGUGUGCUGACAGGAUGCUGCUCGCAAAGGUGGUUGCUUCGGAGGGCAUACCCUGCCGAUGUUCGGCACUACCUAGAGAAGCGGUGCUGUGGCAUAUAUUCGACAAGGAAGCACAGCAUGCCUAGCUGGAAAGCUUGUUGCGGGGAAGAUCGCCGAUUUGAUGAAGUUAUCCUGUAAUAAUGAUAAAUAUAGCACAUGCCUCCCUUCAAA
rnacentral:lncRNA from 1 species